UAACACAUGCAAGUCGAGCGGUAGCACAGAGAGCUUGCUCUCGGGUGACGAGCGGCGGACGGGUGAGUAAUGUCUGGGAAACUGCCUGAUGGAGGGGGAUAACUACUGGAAACGGUAGCUAAUACCGCAUAAUGUCGCAAGACCAAAGUGGGGGACCUUCGGGCCUCAUGCCAUCAGAUGUGCCCAGAUGGGAUUAGCUAGUAGGUGGGGUAACGGCUCACCUAGGCGACGAUCCCUAGCUGGUCUGAGAGGAUGACCAGCCACACUGGAACUGAGACACGGUCCAGACUCCUACGGGAGGCAGCAGUGGGGAAUAUUGCACAAUGGGCGCAAGCCUGAUGCAGCCAUGCCGCGUGUGUGAAGAAGGCCUUCGGGUUGUAAAGCACUUUCAGCGGGGAGGAAGGCGAUAAGGUUAAUAACCUUGUCGAUUGACGUUACCCGCAGAAGAAGCACCGGCUAACUCCGUGCCAGCAGCCGCGGUAAUACGGAGGGUGCAAGCGUUAAUCGGAAUUACUGGGCGUAAAGCGCACGCAGGCGGUCUGUCAAGUCGGAUGUGAAAUCCCCGGGCUCAACCUGGGAACUGCAUUCGAAACUGGCAGGCUAGAGUCUUGUAGAGGGGGGUAGAAUUCCAGGUGUAGCGGUGAAAUGCGUAGAGAUCUGGAGGAAUACCGGUGGCGAAGGCGGCCCCCUGGACAAAGACUGACGCUCAGGUGCGAAAGCGUGGGGAGCAAACAGGAUUAGAUACCCUGGUAGUCCACGCCGUAAACGAUGUCGAUUUGGAGGUUGUGCCCUUGAGGCGUGGCUUCCGGAGCUAACGCGUUAAAUCGACCGCCUGGGGAGUACGGCCGCAAGGUUAAAACUCAAAUGAAUUGACGGGGGCCCGCACAAGCGGUGGAGCAUGUGGUUUAAUUCGAUGCAACGCGAAGAACCUUACCUGGUCUUGACAUCCACAGAACUUAGCAGAGAUGCUUUGGUGCCUUCGGGAACUGUGAGACAGGUGCUGCAUGGCUGUCGUCAGCUCGUGUUGUGAAAUGUUGGGUUAAGUCCCGCAACGAGCGCAACCCUUAUCCUUUGUUGCCAGCGGUUAGGCCGGGAACUCAAAGGAGACUGCCAGUGAUAAACUGGAGGAAGGUGGGGAUGACGUCAAGUCAUCAUGGCCCUUACGACCAGGGCUACACACGUGCUACAAUGGCAUAUACAAAGAGAAGCGACCUCGCGAGAGCAAGCGGACCUCAUAAAGUAUGUCGUAGUCCGGAUUGGAGUCUGCAACUCGACUCCAUGAAGUCGGAAUCGCUAGUAAUCGUAGAUCAGAAUGCUACGGUGAAUACGUUCCCGGGCCUUGUACACACCGCCCGUCACACCAUGGGAGUGGGUUGCAAAAGAAGUAGGUAGCUUAACCUUCGGGAGGGCGCUUACCACUUUGUGAUUCAUGACUGGGGUGAAGUCGUAACAA
rnacentral:rRNA from 1 species